rnacentral:misc_RNA from 1 species
ACAAACUUGGUCAUUUAGAGGAAGUAAAAGUCGUAACAAGGUCUCCGUUGGUGAACCAGCGGAGGGAUCAUUAUCGAGUUUCUAAAACUCCCAACCCCUGUGAACUAUACCUGUUGUAUUGUUGCUUCGGCGGUUACCGUCCCGGGAAACCGGGCCGCCCGUCGGGGGACCUAAACCUUUUAAAUACUCUAAAUUAUAUGGCAUCUUCUGAGUGGCUUAAAAAAAAUGAAUCAAAACUUUCAACAACGGAUCUCUUGGUUCUGGCAUCGAUGAAGAACGCAGC